rnacentral:sRNA from 1 species
UCUUUGGCCUGUAUGUCUGCUCCAGAUUCUAUCAGCGUGCUGGCAACAAGGUGCAGGCCCUCGGCAGCAGCGAUGUGGAGCGGCGUCCUCUGAUCGUAGUUCCUGCAGUUUGGGCUGAUCCCGAAUCUGAGCAGCUUCUUCAGCAGAUCGAUCCUGCCACCCCUGACUACUCUGCAGAGCAUUCACAUACCAAUGCAGUCCUGCCAUCGUAAUCUGAUUUACUCGGAUCUGCUCCUGCACUGAUUAAGCUUUUCAAACGAAAUAUAUCCCCAUGAUAUGCAGCAUUGUUUACUCCAAGGACUAGUUCUGAUUCUUGCUUUGCUAGCAGAUAUAUGCUAGUCAAGGAUUGCUUGUCAAUUCUCAGAAGGCUGCAAAGCUCACAGACUCUAACUGUGUAUGGCUGUGGAAUGUUGCAGAUCACCGCGACAUCGCCAACUAUGCCGUAAGGCCGCAGUUCUGAGAUGAUCUCUUCAGACCCAUCUUCCCCAUUGGCCACCUCUUCCUGUGACAG